rnacentral:rRNA from 1 species
AAUGAACGCUAGCGGGAGGCCUAACACAUGCAAGCCGAGCGGUAUUGUUUCUUCGGAAAUGAGAGAGCGGCGUACGGGUGCGUAACACGUGUGCAACCUGCCUUUAUCUGGGGGAUAACCUUUCGAAAGGAAGAUUAAUACUCCAUAAUAUAUUGAACGGCAUCGUUUAAUAUUGAAAGCUCCGGCGGAUAGAGAUGGGCACGCGCAAGAUUAGCUAGUUGGUGAGGUAACGGCUCACCAAGGCGAUGAUCUUUAGGGGGCCUGAGAGGGUGAUCCCCCACACUGGUACUGAGACACGGACCAGACUCCUACGGGAGGCAGCAGUGAGGAAUAUUGGUCAAUGGGUGCAAGCCUGAACCAGCCAUCCCGCGUGAAGGACGACUGCCCUAUGGGUUGUAAACUUCUUUUGUAUAGGGAUAAACCUACCCUCGUGAGGGUAGCUGAAGGUACUAUACGAAUAAGCACCGGCUAACUCCGUGCCAGCCGCCGCGGUAA